rnacentral:rRNA from 1 species
AGCGAACGUUAGCGGCGGGCCUAACACAUGCAAGUCGAGCGAGAAAGUGGCUUCGGCCAUCAGUAAAGCGGCGGACGGGUGAGUAACACGUAGGUAAUCUUCCCUUGAGCGGGGGACAACGUUUCGAAAGGAACGCUAAUACCGCAUACGUUUCCAGGAGCUCUGGCUCUUGGAAGGAAAGCUAGGUCGCAAGAUCCGGCACUCGGAGGAGGAGCCUGCGUCGCAUCAGCUAGNGGGUGGGGUAAUGGCCUACCAAGGCGAAGACGCGUAGCUGGUCUGAGAGGAUGAUCAGCCACACUGGGACUGAGACACCGGCCCAGACUCC